rnacentral:other from 1 species
UCCGCCCUGCGGUGUUCGAGUAUGAGGCGAACGAAAAACCCACAAAGAGUAAAAAGGAGCCCGGCUUCCGGCGCGGGGUUUGCAGACCUCCCUCCGCAGCCGUGAGACGCAUUCCGCGCCGCCGCAGCGUGCAGGACGCUGGGAGCACGAACCGUCGGAGAGGGCGCCGUCCUUGCGAGAGCAGGGUUUCUUCACGUUCGUUUCAGGAGACGGCACUGCGGGGCGGUU